AACUUUUUGAGCGAAAGCAAAUGACCGGAGUUGAUCUACACGACUUGAAAUUUCAGAUGGAAUGAGAGUUUCUGCAAUGAUGUAAAGUUUUGGCUCAGUCUCUCUCAUGCUAAAAAUGUGGUCAAUUUCAACUCCUCAUUAAUAGGAAAGAGGCGCCUCACUGUUUGCAGUGCACUGCAGUGAGAGUAGAUCCUCUGUGCUGUGCAAGGCUGUUGACAGACUGGGAUCUGUAAUUGUUUUCUCUGUGCUGAAAGAGUGUCUCUGCCCGAAUGGAAUGCAAGAGACUGAAAUGCAGCUUUGCUCUUUGUUCUCCGCAGUUAAAGAGGGAUAAAUGGCACACACACACACACACCUAUCUGCUUCUUUCCCAAAGUGCUUAAACUUGCCUGCGGGAUCUCGGCUAAUGCCAUUAUCUGCCAUAUUUGUUUUGUUGUAUUCCAUUCUGUACAAAACCAGAUCAGAGCUAUCAUGAGAAACUUAUUGUGUUGGAGCGCGUGUGUGUGUGGGUGGAUAUGUGUGUGUGUGUGUGUGCCCUGUGCAUGUGCACUCAGGAGCACAUGAGUGUGUGUGGGUGUUUGGAUAUAGGUAUUUGUGUGGGAGGGUGUAGCUCAGUGUGUGUGGGUGACCAAGUGUGUGUGUGCACAAGUGAAGUGUGUGUAUAUGUGAAAUAUUCCACCCAUUUGCAGAAGGCAAGGGUUGCUUGUCAAACCCAGAGCAUUCCAGUGCUUCUGAAGCGGCGCUCGAUGAACUGCGAAUCUCAGCUGAAAUGUGAAGACAAAAGCCAGGGGGACAUUUAAGAGAGUUUAGCUCAGACGGAUCCCUACGAAUCAAUCCCCCUCGCUUCGGUGGGAAAAAUCCAGCGCUCGGGCUUGUAUUUCAGGUUCAGCUGGAGACGGUUGCUGUCUGCCGCCGAGGGUCUUUCCCAAAAUGGGGCACAACUGGGAGGGGAUACAAAGAGACCCACCUGUGGAGCUGUUAGAAUCACACUGUCUGCUGGGAGGGUGAAGUGUCUUGCUGUCGUUUCCCCCGCGGGGUUGGCGAUAUUUUUCAUUUCCAGUUCACUGAAUAAUGUGCCGAUGUUUUUAAAUGGUGUGUGGUCUGGGAGGUGGUCUGAUUCCAUUCUUACAAAUGACAAACAAUGAGGGAUGUUUCUAUAGAUGUGCCAUUUACAAGUGGUGUUUAAGUUCAAACUCUUGCACAGAGGAGUAUAAGAUUUAGUGAGUACCGACUCACUCGUUAACUUGCAUACUUCACCAGAAAAAUCUCUGCAGGCUGCGUCAUCUUAGCAAAAACAUACAAAUAUCAGUUUUAAAUGCAAUAAAACAUUAUUAUUAGUUUAGUAUAUAUAUAUUUUAGAUGGGUUUUAAACAGUGAGAGAAGUACUGACAUAUUCGUUUUUUUUAUAACUGUGUACGCUGACUCUAUAUCGAUUCAGUUAGCAAUAAGACCUGAUUGGUUCGAAGUGAUUCAGUCUUUCUGAACUGAUUUACUCUCUGUGGCUGAAAUGCCAGACUAAAGAAUUAAAGAAAGAAAUAAAGAAUUAUUUGAUGUUAUGUAUUCAUCGUUUUUCCACACAAAAUUUCCUAUCUAAACAUUUCAUAUCCCUUUGUAAAGAUUGCUCGACCUAAAAAUUCAUUAAGGAAGAGUAUGUUUGUCUUCAAUGAAAAUCAAUUCUAUAGUUCGCUCUCUGAACGAGGAAAGAGGUGAGAGUUCAUCUGAAUUCCUUUAAGAUGACAUUGCGUUUAGGAAUUUGAGGUCCUUGUACAUGCACCAGGAUUUUUUUUUCAAUACUUUGCACUGAGAAUUUUUAUAGCACAUGUAUAGGUAAUUCAUCCAGAGCAGGCUUUUAAAUGUACCUCAGAAUCCAAGAUCAAAGAAUGCAGAAACCACAUGCAACAUGUUGUAGAAAAUAUGAUAAGGAAUAGUUACACAUGAACGGGAUAUAACAGGAGUGGUUAUUCAUUACAAUAUGUCUGGUCUAACUAAACAAAGGCAACAUGUCCUUUAGACUAUGGAUAAACAAAUUCCAGCCACAGCUGACUGAAAUCGCAGAUGAUUGAAGGUACUUGUCAAGAUGAGACUCAAAGAAUGCAUUUAGGUAUUGUGCGCUAUUGUCUGCAUCUUAAGCCAAGUGUAACCAUAUACAGUACCUUGAAAAGUAUGAGCACCUCUCUGAUUUUAUGUCUGCAUUCUCCCAUAUCGUAACAUGCUAUUCAUAAACAGUAAAUGAAUCAUGAGCUGCAAGUGGGGGAAAACUGUAUUUGCCAGUGGAUUUCACUUGAUCCACAAGUGUACUCACUGCCAAAUACUACAGCUGGCAAAAUUCUGUGUACAGAUUUUACUUCUCAUUAACUAGAAAGGCUUUUCCAAAUAUUUAAUAGACAUACUUCAGCUGGACAAGUAAAGAUUGUUUUAGAAUAAUAGGUGCAUUGAGAAUAGAUCACUUUAAAACAUUCAACUGUUUAUUUUUGCAUUCUGGUUGCUGUAUAUGUUAUUGAAUCGCUUGCGACCGAUAUUUGAAGAGGUUAGUCUUGGAACUGAUGAAUGCAUAAAUGUUGCCAAGUCAUUACUGAUCAUGAUAUAACUGAAGAAUCAUAUCAUUUUACCCUUAAAGAAAUAUUGAGUUGAAAUAGUGCAAAUUUGUUAGGAAUUUGGAUUUUUCUCAAUAGUUAAUGGAAUUUCUAUCAGUUUUAAACAAAAAAAAUAUGUGUUUUAGCUCCAAAAUUCCUGUUAUGUGUUAGAAAAGCAGAAUUAACCUUAUUUAGUCCUUUUUUUUAGGUACAGAUCUUUAAAAGAAAUUGCACUAUUAUUUAAAAGUGUAUUCAUCCAUUUUUAAAUGCAGCAACUAAAUUAUCAACAAUUUUGUUCUCACUCUUUGUCUGAUGCUAGUGUCUUCUUUUGGUUGAAGCAGCUGUGAAACUGAUAUUUAAAAUGUUUCCAUACCAGUAAAGGCUCACACUGUGCUGUGUGUGUGAGCAGGGCUGAAGAGACAUGCUGCGCAGGUUAUGUUUUCAUAUUUUUCUUUGUGCAGAUGUGCUCACACUGAUUAGAUCAGAACAAUAUAUGUAAGCUGCAAAUGAGGUUUUUCAGAGUAAAAUCAUUAACAGUCAUAAUAUUUCUCUUUAUUAAUAAUAUGGCACAUUUCUCAGUUCAAAACCGAUUGAUUUAUUGAAGCUUGAUUAAUUUAAGUAGUUUUGUUGGUUUACACUGAAAUGGGCGUUCGAUUCUGAUAGCGCGUUCAAUUCUGUUUUCCUAAUUUAAACUUUAAUUCAUGUGCACAUUUUGUUAGCUAUUUGGACAUAUAUUAAACAAGAAUCCAUUGAUGGAAUGGUAGAAAUGUUUUUCUUUAACCCUGUCAGAAUGAUCAGUUGUGCAAAUUUCCCCAAGUUCAUCAUCUGCUCAUCCUUCCCUUGAAAGCCUUCUCUGAGAUGUUCUCUGUGAAAGUGUGAGAGAGAAUGGAAAAAACGAGACAUUUCAUCAUAAGCCAAUCUGGCACUUUGGAAAUUUUAUGUAAAUCACUGGGCACCUCCCACAGCUGUUGUAUUUCCCCCAUGCAUCCUUUUUGCAUUCGGGACAAGGACUGAAGAAGAGUGUUCAUGGUCUCUUGUGAAUGAGACGAUGUGGUCAGUUAGGUGAACUCCCAUUGUACUUCUUUCCUGCUAGUCUUACUCUCUGGUGAAACCCCUUGUGUCUACUGUAAAAACAAUUCUGCUGUUGAGAGAGGGAGGGAAAGCAAAGGGGGAACCAGAUUGUACACAAAGCUCAGUGGUUUCCCAUAUCAAUGUACACUAACAAAACUACUUAAAUGAGUGAACGCAUGCAAAUCACUGUUUUGUCGACAUGCAUCUGGCAUGCACUGCACUUGAAAUUGUGUCUUAGGAAAUGGUUAAAGUUUUCUAUGUUUCCACUGCCAUAGAUUAGGUCUUAAACUUUCUUUUAUCCUUUAGGAUAUUUCGAGUGCAUUGAAGUUACAACACAAUUUUUUUGACUUUUAAAAGAUUAUGAUGUCCAGAUGAAGAACAGAUUUCUGAACUAAUAUUCAGUGUUAACUCAAUUAAAAACAAUAAUCUUCAAUGAGUGAAUUUCAGAAACCACAUCUGGGGAUCGUAAGCUCAUUAUAAAACAUCUUAAUACACAUGAAAGGCUUGUUUCAAAUCAAUUUUACCAAAUGAGAAUCAAUCAAUGAAACGCCUUUAGUGUUAACUUCCUCCUCAAUUGGAUUAAAGUCCCUAAACUAAUUUUAGAGGAAACCAAGUACUGACAUAAACACUCUUCGGUUUAUGCCAAUCUGGCAUUUAAAAAAACAUCUUAAAGUUCCUGAUGAUAUAUAGCCUAUACUCUAAUAAAGUGGCACAUACUUAUUUAUAUUCAAUUUUCACUAUAAAUGUUGUGUUGUCUGUAGGGUUAUUUGGAGAACAACUUGACGUCAGAUAACAGGUUCUUCAGAAUAGCGUAUUGGUUAAUGGAAUUUGUAAAACGGUGAUUCCCAACCAUCUCAUUUAAGCACAAUUGCUAGGACUAUUUAGACAAAAAAAAAAAAAAAAAAUAUUGGGAAUCCCAACAUAAAAAAUAAAUAAAUAAAUAAAUAAAGAAGCAGCAGCAGAGCUCGACAGUGUUCUAUUUGGAUUCGUAAUCGGUUUAUACUUCAACAAAAAAGUAGGCUAUUUUUAUUAUUCUGUUAUAUAUUUACAUGUCACGAGUAUAUGAGACAAAUAUGUUGUUUUAAGAAGUAGACAACUUAAGAAAGCUGACAUUUUACUAACUGUAGUCUAGAUAGGCGCGAGACGAACAGCAAAAAUUACUCACAGGAAGUCCUUUUAAUCCCCGAAAGUCAGUGAAUAAUUCACACACAGUUUAAAGUACACAUAUGUUGUCCACAUAACCAGAAUUCUUUUUUUUAAACCUCUGUAGAAUUUUAAAAAGUUGUCUAGUGGCUUCGGGCUUAUUUUUUUAAAAUGUACAGUUAUUUCGACAUGAAGAACAACAAAAUGUACUGACAAAAUCCCCUUUGAAUCUACUGUUGAAAUCUUUAUCAUCUGCCUACAAAUGAGAGUUAUGAGGACGCAGCUGUUUACCCCUUUCUGUUCUCAGAAACAUACAAGUUCAGCGUAGAAAAAUGAUGUCAUCUCAGCAUAGGACUUUCGCCUUUUCUGCAUAAAAGUCUUUUUCUGAUUUAGAGUUUCCUCAAAUCGUGUGCAUAUAUAUUAUAGGCCUGCCUGCAGUGCGUUAUAUCCCCGUUAUAUCCCCGUGCGAAGGGACGGCCCCAGCAGAGGGGGAUUUCUGAACUGAGUGCUGGUUAGUGAAGUCAGCAGCAUUCAUGUGAAUGGGGCAGCAGUGGCAUUUCCAAGUCAUUCGGCAUGUUAAUGCACAACGUGAAAAGUCGGCCGGCGCAAGGAAAAUGGAAAUGACAAGUAGAUGAAUGAAACAUGCGAUGAUGAACAUGAAGUGUUUCUGCAUUCGCAACGGAGCCGUACUUUCAUUUUGUCGACCGAGCUCAUUUUUUUUUAUGCCUUUCUUUCUUUUUCUCCUGGACGCAGAGAAACAGAUUGUCCGCUAUCAGCGGUGAUGGUGCGCGGAGGAAAAACGCGAGCAUGCAGCGAAGUCAAACAAAAGGGCCUCAGAUGAAUAUUCCUGAAACAGAACAGGAUGGACUUGCUAAAACCAAAUCACGCACUCAUCCUGCACCGCAGUUCGGAGACGUUAAUGGAGCUCUCACUCUCUCUCUGUGCGUGUGUGUGUGUCUGCGGCUCCUGAAGACGAAGGGGGAAGUCGGGGACCCCAGCGCUCAGCCAUCAGGAAAUACUCUUUUCACCCAGACAGAUGUUAUUCAGACAGGCUGAAUAUAUUCAGAUCGCGUGAUGCUCCAUGUCUUCAUUUCAGUUUAGGCGCUGAAGACGGCUCAAGUGGACAAGCACUGCAGGCGGCUUGUUAGGGUGCUCAUGAGGUGCUCAGUAGUCAGUGUAGAUCCUGUGUUGCAAUCAGCAGCUACAUCUGGCUACUGGGUCUCUGAUGGCAUUUUCUGCUUCCUGUUGGCACAUUCCUUUCAGAUUGUGUGGUAUGUUAUCACAAUGUGUGCCUCAUCCUGUCAGAAUAGGACUCGCUUUUUCAUGGACGUUAAAGAGGGCUCAUCACAACAGACUGUCUCUUGGACCAGAGCAAUUUGGUGGUGCUUUUACACAUUUUUAGCUGUUUUUUUAUCCUCAAAAAAUUUGAUCAAGGUGAGUGAACUGUCAACGUGUAGCUAAAAGUCUCGGGAACCCAUUUCAGAUGUCUUUGAAAGAAAGGAUUGAGACAUUGUUUCUUGUUUGACUGCUGAAGUUUCAGUUUAAGUGAUUAGGUAACAAAGGACAAGGCGACAUGUCACAUUCUCUUUGUGAUUUGCCUGUCACAAGGGGCUGUCUUUGUGCAAAUGUUUUUGAGUAGUUGAAGGCUGACAAAUAAUGAGAGUUAAACGCGCAGACGUGCUGAAUCCCAUUGGUUUCGGGGAGCGAAGGAUGAAGUCUUUUGUGCUGUCGUGAACCUGGCAUACAAUGUAGAUUUCUGUGUGGUACAAUCUACAGCUACAUUGUCUGCUGGGUUUCAGGCCAGCAGAAAAAGCCUGCUCAGCUCAGAAAUUGAAAAGGUGAGUCGUUAAAUCGUCAUGCAUGCUUGAAAAAGACUUAUCCUACUAUGAGAAUAAUAUACAAUAAAAGUACUGAAAGUAUAAAAA